rnacentral:rRNA from 1 species
UACGGAGGGGGUUAGCGUUGUUCGGAAUUACUGGGCGUAAAGCGCGCGUAGGCGGAUUAGAAAGUUGGGGGUGAAAUCCCGGGGCUCAACCCCGGAACUGCCUCCAAAACUACUAGUCUAGAGUUCGAGAGAGGUGAGUGGAAUUCCGAGUGUAGAGGUGAGAUUCGUAGAUAUUCGGAGGAACACCAGUGGCGAAGGCGGCUCACUGGCUCGAUACUGACGCUGAGGUGCGAAAGUGUGGGGAGCAAACAGG